rnacentral:rRNA from 1 species
GACGAACGCUGGCGGCGCGCCUAAAACAUGCAAGUCGAACGAGAAGCCCGGGCUUGCCCGGGUGGACAGUGGCGAACGGGUGAGUAACACGUGAGGAACCUGCCCCGAAGACCGGGACAACACCGGGAAACCGGUGCUAAUACCGGAUGCCUUCACCGGAUCGCAUGGUCUGGUGAAGAAAUGGAUUCCGCUUCGGGAUGGCCUCGCGGCCUAUCAGCUUGUUGGUGAGGUAAUGGCUCACCAAGGCGACGACGGGUAGCUGGUCUGAGAGGAUGUCCAGCCACACUGGGACUGAGACACGGCCCAGACUCCUACGGGAGGCAGCAGUUAGGAAUCUUGCGCAAUGGGCGAAAGCCUGACGCAGCGACGCCGCGUGCGGGAUGAAGGCCUUCGGGUUGUAAACCGCUUUCAGCAGGGACGAAAUUGACGGUACCUGCAGAAGAAGCCCCGGCCAACUACGUGCCAGCCGCCGCAGUAAUAC